UUUUAGUUUGUCUUAGUUUUGCUUGCUGUUCAUAACAAGUCAGAACCUAGCCUUCCUUGUUUGGGAGAUAAACACGCUCCACUCCACUCUAGAACACAACAUAGGUUUUCAUGCUUAUCUUUUAUGUGUGUUCUUUAUCUUUUCAUAUCUACUGUCAUGCUUAGCUCUUAUUUUUCAUGCUUUAUCUUUUUAAGAGCUUUUAUUUAGGUUG
rnacentral:lncRNA from 1 species